AACGAACGCUGGCGGCAUGCCUAACACAUGCAAGUCGAACGAGAUCUUCGGGUCUAGUGGCGCACGGGUGCGUAACGCGUGGGAAUCUGCCCUUUGGUUCGGAAUAACAGUUGGAAACGACUGCUAAUACCGGAUGAUGACGAAAGUCCAAAGAUUUAUCGCCAGAGGAUGAGCCCGCGUAGGAUUAGCUAGUUGGUGUGGUAAAGGCGUACCAAGGCGACGAUCCUUAGCUGGUCUGAGAGGAUGAUCAGCCACAAUGGGACUGUGACACGGCCAAGGCUCUUACGGGAGGCAGGAGGGGGGAAUAUUGGACAAUGGGCGAAAGCCUAAUCCAGCAAUGCCGCGUGAGCGAUGCAGGCCUUAGGGUUGUAAAGCUCUGUUACCCGGGAUGAUAAUGACAGUACCGGGAGAAUAAGCUCCGGCUAACUCCGUGCCAGCCGCCGCCGUAA
rnacentral:rRNA from 1 species